GUGGCGGACGGGUGAGUAACACGUGGGUAACCUACCCAUCAGAGGGGGAUAACACUUGGAAACAGGUGCUAAUACCGCAUAACAGUUUAUGCCGCAUGGCAUAAGAGUGAAAGGCGCUUUCGGGUGUCGCUGAUGGAUGGACCCGCGGUGCAUUAGCUAGUUGGUGAGGUAACGGCUCACCAAGGCCACGAUGCAUAGCCGACCUGAGAGGGUGAUCGGCCACACUGGGACUGAGACACGGCCCAGACUCCUACGGGAGGCAGCAGUAGGGAAUCUUCGGCAAUGGACGAAAGUCUGACCGAGCAACGCCGCGUGAGUGAAGAAGGUUUUCGGAUCGUAAAACUCUGUUGUUAGAGAAGAACAAGGACGUUAGUAACUGAACGUCCCCUGACGGUAUCUAACCAGAAAGCCACGGCUAACUACGUGCCAGCAGCCGCGGUAAUACGUAGGUGGCAAGCGUUGUCCGGAUUUAUUGGGCGUAAAGCGAGCGCAGGCGGUUUCUUAAGUCUGAUGUGAAAGCCCCCGGCUCAACCGGGGAGGGUCAUUGGAAACUGGGAGACUUGAGUGCAGAAGAGGAGAGUGGAAUUCCAUGUGUAGCGGUGAAAUGCGUAGAUAUAUGGAGGAACACCAGUGGCGAAGGCGGCUCUCUGGUCUGUAACUGACGCUGAGGCUCGAAAGCGU
rnacentral:rRNA from 1 species